AAUGCCGCCCUGUCACGGCGGAGGUCGCGGGUUCGAGCCCCGUCCAGACCG
rnacentral:tRNA from 1 species